UGUGGCCAAACACACACAAAAUAUAAGGUAGAUCAUAAAUAUUCCAUUACACGGCGGCAAGGAGCUCCCCGCCCAUGAUACCACUGAGGCCUUCAACAUUUCUCGUAAACUACAACACUGAGAUCUUUUUUCCAGAACACGCACAAGUGAUGUGCUUUAUUUAUUACUAUUAAUAAGGCAGAGAAAGGUUUCUCUGUCCCACACAACAUAGAAGGUACUGUAGAUAAUAAAGGUUUCACUACAUGGUGGCCGGGAGCUCCCCACCCAUGCCACCAGUGGGGUCUUGAACCUCCCCACCCAUGCCACCAGUGGGGCCUUCAACCUCCCCACCACCGAUGCCACCGAGGCCUUGAACCGGCAGGUCGGUGUGCUCUUCAAAGGGGAAUGGCUCUAGUUUUGGCUGAGCUGCUUGUAGGAUCAUUUCAAUCGUCAGUUCUGGCCCUGAUCUUUGCAAAGGCGCCACUGGAUCAACACAUGGGUCAUGAGGCUGAAAAGAAUCAAAUUACAUUAUUAUGAUAGGCCGAUGCAAAUCAACCAAUUUAUGAUUCCUCUAUUUUAUUUUUGACAUGCAUGAAUAAGGGGUUGUGGCACUAACCAGGUUGGCAUGCAUUCUGUCGACAAAGGUCUUGAAAUUGACAUAGUUUUGUCCCUCUACCAGCUGAUUCGAUAACCGAAGGUAGGUGAAUCCAAACAGCUUGUGCUCAGGAGGGCCGCUCUUGUUGAUGCCAUGAGGCCUCGCAUUCCUGAGUAUGGUGUUGUAAGCAGUUGGAUCAUAUCGAGGAAGUGCGUUUUCGCAUGCCACAUUUAGGCCCUCUCUCCAACCAGCACUCAACACCUGAGAAUUUCGACGACAAGUGCUUUAGGUGUUUCCAUUAGAGAUAUAUAAGUGUAAUAUCCAAAGGCAUAUGUUACCUAC
rnacentral:lncRNA from 1 species